UACGUAGGGUGCAAGCGUUAAUCGGAAUUACUGGGCGUAAAGCGUGCGCAGGCGGUUCGCUAAGACAGAUGUGAAAUCCCCGGGCUUAACCUGGGAACUGCAUUUGUGACUGGCGGGCUAGAGUAUGGCAGAGGGGGAUAGAAUUCCACGUGUAGCAGUGAAAUGCGUAGAGAUGUGGAGGAAUACCGAUGGCGAAGGCAGCCCCCUGGGCCAAUACUGACGCUCAUGCACGAAAGCGUGGGGAGCAAACAGG
rnacentral:rRNA from 1 species